rnacentral:rRNA from 1 species
CAGCCGCCACGGGAAUACGGAGGGUGCAAGCGUUAAUCGGAAUUACUGGGCGUAAAGCGCACGCAGGCGGUCUGACAAGUCAGAUGUGAAAUCCCCGGGCUUAACCUGGGAACUGCAUUUGAAACUGUCAGGCUGGAGUCUUGUAGAGGGGGGUAGAAUUCCAGGUGUAGCGGUGAAAUGCGUAGAGAUCUGGAGGAAUACCGGUGGCGAAGGCGGCCCCCUGGACAAAGACUGACGCUCAGGUGCGAAAGCGUGGGGAGCAAACAGGAUUAGAUACCCGAGUAGUCCCUGUCUCUUAUAC